rnacentral:rRNA from 1 species
AGUGAACGCUGGCGGUAGGCCUAACACAUGCAAGUCGAACGGCAGCACAGUAAGAGCUUGCUCUUACGGGUGGCGAGUGGCGGACGGGUGAGGAAUACAUCGGAAUCUACUUUUUCGUGGGGGAUAACGUAGGGAAACUUACGCUAAUACCGCAUACGACCUACGGGUGAAAGCAGGGGAUCUUCGGACCUUGCGCGAUUGAAUGAGCCGGUGUCGGAUUAGCUAGUUGGCGGGGUAAAGGCCCACCAAGGCGACGAUCCGUAGCUGGUCUGAGAGGAAGGAUAGCCGGCCUGGGAGGGGGGACGGGCACAAGACGACUGGGGGAGGCACCAGAGGGGAAUGGUGGGCAGUGGGCGGGAGCAUGGCACAACGAUCCGGGGUGGGAGAAAGCGGCUUUGGGUGUGUAAGGCCUUUUUUUGGGGAAAAAAAACCAUCAGCUUAAGACCCAGGUUUUCUGACGGUACCUAAAGAAGAAGCACCGGCUAACUACGUG